rnacentral:rRNA from 1 species
AUUGAACGCUGGCGGCAUGCUUUACACAUGCAAGUCGAACGGCAGCGCGGGCUUCGGCCUGGCGGCGAGUGGCGAACGGGUGAGUAAUGCAUCGGAACGUGCCCAGUAGUGGGGGAUAGCCCGGCGAAAGCCGGAUUAAUACCGCAUACGACCUGAGGGUGAAAGCGGGGGACCGAAAGGCCUCGCGCUAUUGGAGCGGCCGAUGUCGGAUUAGCUAGUUGGUGGGGUAAAGGCUUACCAAGGCGACGAUCCGUAGCUGGUCUGAGAGGACGACCAGCCACAGUGGGACAGAGCCACGCCCCGGACUCCUGCGGGGGGAGGCGGUGGGGAAUUUUGGACAAGGGGGCCACCCCUGCUCCACCCAUGCCGCGGGGGAGAAGACGGCCUUCGGGUUGUAACGCGCUUUUGUUGGGGAAGAAAUCCUGGGGCCUAAUCCCCGGGGGGAAUGACGGUACCGAAAAAAAAAGCCCCGGCUAACUACGUG